UCAGCAUCUAAGUGUUUCACCUCCUUGAUCAAGUUUUUCCUAAGUACUUUUGAAUGCAAUUUUAAAAGGGAAUUUUUUUUAACUUUUUCUUUCUGAUAUUUUUAGUGUAAAAAAUGCAUUAGAUUUCUGUAUGUUAAUCUUGUAUCCUGCUACCUUAAUGAAUUCGUUUAUCAGUUCUAAUUGUUUUUGCAAGGAGUCUUUUGGGUUUUCUAUAUAGCAUAUCAUGUCAUUUUCAUAUAAUGACAAUUUUACCUCUUCCCUUUUAAUUUGGAUACCUUUUAUUUUUUUCUUAUCUGAUUGCUGAGGCUAGGGGUUCUACUACUAUGUUGAAUAGAAGUGAUUAGAGUGAACAUUUUUGUACUGUUCCAGCUUUUAGGCAGAAGACUUUCAGGUUUUCACCACUGAGUAUUAUGUUGGCUGUGGGUUUGUCCUAAAUGUCUUUUAUUAUGCUGAGAUAUGUUUCCUCUAUACCCACUUUGGUGAGUUUUUAUCAUGAAUGGAUGAAUUUUAUCAAAUACAUUUUCUGUAUCUAUUGAGAUAAUCAUGUGGUUUUUGUCUUUUCUUUUGUUGAUGUGCUGUAUCACUUUGAUUGCUUUGCGUUUGUUGACACUGGGAUGGAUCCAACUUGAUCAUGGUGUAUGAUCAUUUUUAUGUGUUGUUGGAUUUGUUUUGCUAAUUUUUGUUUAGGAUUUUUGCAUCUAUAUUCAUCAAAGAUAUUGGCCAGUAAUAUUCUUUUAUGAUAGUGUCUUUGUCUUGUUUUGGUAUCAGGGUGAUUGUGGCUUAAUAGAAUGACUUUGUCUGUGUUCCCUCCCCUUCAGUCUUUUUGAAGAGUUUGCUAAAGAUCAGUAUAAGUUCUUCUUUGUAUGUUUGAUAGGAUUUCCCAGUGAAGCCAUCUAGUCCUGGACUUUUGUUUGAAGGGAGUUUUUUAAAUUACGGAUUCUGUUUCACUUCUAGUGAUUGGUCUGUUCAAAUUAUCUAUUCUUUUUUAAAAAUAAAUUUAUUUAUUCAUUUAUUUAAUUUUUUGGCUGCAUUGGGUCCUCGCCGCUGCACACAGGUUUUCUCUAGUUGCUGAGAGUGCGGACUUCUCAUUGCAGCAGCUUCUCUUGUUGCGGAGCACGGGCUCUAGGUGCACAGGCUCAGUAGUUGUGGUGCAUGGGCUUAGUUGCCUCAGGGCCUGUGGGAUCUUCCUGGACCAGGGCUCAAACCUGUGUACCCUGCAUUGGCAGGCGGAUUCUUAACCACUGCGCCACCAGGGAAGCCCCUAUCUAUUUCUUCUUGAUUUAGUUUUGGUGGGCUGUAUAUUUCUAGAAACUUGUGCAUUUCUUCUAGGUUUUCCAAUCUGUUGGCAUAUUACUGUUCAUAGUAUUUUCUUACAAUUUUUUUUUUGUUUUGUAUCUGAGGUGUUGGUUGUUAUUUCUCCUCUUUCAUUUCUUAUUUUGUUUAUUUCAGUCCUCUCUCUUUCCUUCUUUGUUAGCCUGGCCAGAAGCUUGUUAAUUUUUUUUUAUUCUUUCCAAAAACAAGCUCUUGGUUUUAUUGAUUUUUUUAUUGUUUUUUAUGUCUAUUUUAUUUAUUUCCUCUCUGAUCUUUACUAUUUCCUUCCUUCUGCUGACUUUAGGUUUUGUUUGUUCUACUUUUACUAAUUCUUUUAGGUGGCAGGUUAGGUUAGGUUAGGUUUUUCUCAUUUUUUGAGGAAGGCCUAUAAUGCUAUGAACUCCCCUCUAAGAACUACUUUUGCCACAUCCCAUAGAUUUUGUAUGGUUGUGUUCUCAUUGUCAGUUGUCUCAGGUAUUUUUAAAUUUCCUCUGGUUUCAUCGUUGACCCAUUGGUUUUUUAGUAGCAUGUUGUUUAGUCUCCAUGUAAUCCUUUUCCUCCUUUCUCUUUCUGUGGUUGAUUUCUAGUUUCAUGCUGUUGUCAUUCGAAAAGGUGCUUGAAAUAAUUUCUAUCCUCUUAAAUUUGUUGAGGCUUGUUUUGUCACCUAGUAGGUGGUCUGUCCUAGUGCACUUGAAAAGACUGUGUAUUCUAGCUUUUGGAUGUAUUGUCCUGAAACUAUCAAUUAACUCUAACAGUUCUAUUGUGUCAUUUAGGGUCUCUGUUGCCUUAUUUUUUUAUAUAAAUUUAUUUUUAUUUUUGGCUGUGUUGGGUGUUCGUUUCUGUGCGAGGGCUUUCUCUAGUUGUGGCGAGUGGGGGCCACUCUUCAUUGCGGUGUGCAGGCCUCUCACUGUCGUAGCCUCUCUUGUUGUGGAGCACAGGCUGCAGACGUGCAGGCUCAGUAGUUGUGGCCCACGGGCCCAGUUGCUCUAUGUGGGAUCUUCCCAGACCAGGGCUCGAACCCAUGUCCCCUGCAUUGGCAGGCAGAUUCUCAACCGCUGCGCCACCAGGGAAGCCCUCUGUUGCCUUAUUGAUUUUCUAUCUGGAGGAUUUCUCCACUGAUGUCAGUGGGAUGUUUUGGUCUACUAUUACUGUGUUCCCAUCAAUGUUUCCCUUUAUGUCUGUUACUCUUUGUUUUAUGAAUUUAGGUGCUCCUAUAUUGGGUGCAUAUGUGUUAAUGAGUGUAAUAUCCUCUUCUUUUAUUGAUCCUUUUUUAUCAUUAUAUAAUGUCCUUCGUUAUCUUUUUUUAUGGCCUUUGUUUUAAAGUCUUUUGUCUGGCAUGAUUAUUGCAACCCCCAGUUUCUUGCCAUUUCCAUUUGCAUGAAAUAUCUUUUUCCAUCCCCUCACUUUCAACCUACCUGUCUCCUUUGCCCUAAAGUGGGUCUCUUGUAGGAAGCAUAUUGUAGGUUCUUGUUUUAUUAUCCAGUCCACCACUCUGUUUUUUGAUCAGAGCAUUUAGUCCAUUGAGAUUUGAGGUAAUUAUUGAUAGGUAUGUAUUUAUUAAACCUUGUUUUCUAGUUGAUUUAUUUCUUCUUUUCUUUUUCUUGUUUUUCCUUUUGUGAUUUGAUGGUUUUCUUUUGUAUUACACUUGAGUUCUCUUCUUUUUCGUGUUUGUCCAUCUUCUGUAGGUUUUUGAUUUGUGGUUACCCUGGUUUUCAACUAUGUUAACUCAUUACUUUAUGUACUUGCUUUAGACUGAUAGUCAUAUAAGCUCAAACACAGUCUAAAAAACAUCUAUAUUUUCUUACUCCCCUCCCCCACAUUUUAUGAUUUUGAUGCAUUGUUUUACAUCUUUGUGUUUAUCCUUUUGCAGUUUAUUGUAGUUAUAAUCAUUUUCAUAAUCUUUGAUUUUUUUAAAUUUAGGUACUGGCUUAUUUAAGUGAUCUACAAUCCUUUAAUAUAUUUGCUUUUCCUAUUGUGAUUUUUCCUUUCCUAUCGGUUCUUGCUUCUUUUCUAUUUAGAGAAGACCUUUCAAUAUUUCUCUUAGGAGAAGUUUAGUAUUGCUGUAUUCUUUUAGUUUUUGCUUGUCUGAGAAAUUAUUUAUCUCUCCUUCUAUUCUAAAUGAUAAUCUUGCUGGGUAGAGUAUUGUAGGUUACAGGUUUUUCCGUUUUAGGACUUUGAAUAUAUCUUGCCACUCCCUUCUGGCCUGCAACGGUUCUGUAGAGAAAUCAGCUGAUAACCCUAUGGGGAUUUCCUUGUAACUAACUCUCUGUAUUUCUCUUGCUGCCUCUAGAACCCUCUUUAUCUUUAAUUUGCCAUUUUAAUCAUAACAUAUCUUGGUGUGGGUCUGUUUGGGUUCAUCUUGUUUGUGACCCUCUGUGCUUCCUGUACCUGGAUAUCUCUUUCCUUCUUUAGGUUUGGGAAGAUUUUAGCCAUAAUUUCUUCAAAUCCACUUUUGAUCCCCUUUUCACUUUCUUCUCUUUCUGGGAUCCCAAUUAUGAUUGGCACCUUUUACGUUAUCCCAUAGGUCUUGUAUAUUGCUUUCAUUUUUUAAAUCUGUCUUUGUCUGCUCUUCUGAUUGAUUUCUAUUGUUCUUUUUUCCAGAACACUUAUUGAUUUUUCUGCAUUAUUUAGUUUGCUGUUUAUUGCCUUUAGCUUGGUUUUCAUGUAGGCAACUGAGUUGUCUAAUUUUGAUUGGCUCCUUUUUACAGUUUCUACCUUCCUAUUAUAGGAACUGCAUUUCUAUUGAUAGCCUUUCUUAAUUCCUUCAGCAUUUUUAUUGCCUCCCUUUUGAACUUGAGGUCUAAUAGACUGGAGGAAUCUGUUUCAUUGUUCUUUCAGGGGAUUUUUCUUGUUCUUUUAAUUGGGAGUGGUUUCUCUGCUGCUUCAUCUUACUUCUAUUUCUGACUCUGUGAAUUUAGGAGAAAUAGUUAUCUGUGGUCUCAGAGGGCUAUUUUUAUGUGGGAGUGUCCCUGUGCAGCCUGCAUGAGUCGAAUGUGUUUGAUGUGAGGGCUGUCCUCGGUAUGGAUGCCUGCCAUAUAUUUCUUAAGGGUGUGCUAGCCAUUAUCCCCUUGAUAGGGUGUGUGACUGUUGUUGUGCUGACCAGAGCUUGCACAGGAUAUUGGGUGCGGGCAACUCUUUGCUCUGUGGUUGUCACAGCCCUCUUGGGGGUAGGGUUUUCUCCCCAGUUGUUGGCAUACAAGCCCCCAGAUCUGGUUCUAAACUGUAGUUUGAGGUAGGCAGGACUGGAGCACUCCGAUUGGGAAAGGAGCCAUGAGUACUCCCCUGCAGGAGCUGUCCACCAGGGAGUGCUCUCUGAGAUGUUGCCUGUCACCCAGAGUGCACACUCUUGUUGGCAUGCCCUCAGCCCCGCCUCAGCUGUGGGAAAGCUGGCAAGGACGUCCCUUGGGCACUAUGCUCACAAAGCUGCCAGGGUAAAUCCCCAGAAGCAAGCAUCCACCGGGAAUAGGCUCAGAUUGCGGCCCCACCUCCGCGUGUGGACAACCCACCUUGCGUGCUCCCAGAGCUCAAAGAGGCAGAGCUGUGCCCACUGUGAGCAGAAUGAGUCUGCUGUGGUGGGCCCCGCCCCUCCCUUCAUGCAUGCUUUUGACAAUGUGGCUCCUAUGGCGGACCCAGGCUCUGUUGUGCACACACCCCUAAUUGUGACCCAGACCAUUCUCCAGGCCCUUCAGGCUGUCUCCACGCAGCCAGACCUAGUCCUCACACUGGGUCUGCCCGCUGAAGCCUGAGUUUCAGCACCCAGCCCGUGCGCUCCAGCAGACAUGCAUCUCAGGCUGGGGAGUGCAGCGAGGGGGCCAGAACCUCUGGGCUGGUCUCUCUGUCCUGCCUGCAGGAAUCCAGCUGCUGCACUCUCCUCUGAGCCUCUGAGGCUGCCUAUCUGUCUGGGCUGAUCUCCCAGCUGGUGAAGAGGGAAUAUUCCCCCUUUCACAGCUCCCUCCCAGGGGCACAGGUCCCAUCCCCAAUUCUUUUUCUUUUUUCCUUUUGUCCUACCGGUUACAUGGUGAUCUUUCUUGCAGCUUUGAUUGUAUGAGAUCUUCUGCCAGUGUUCUGUAGGUAUUCUGUGAGAAUUGUUCCACAUGUAGGUGUAUUUUUGAUGUCUUUGUGGGGAGAGGUAAGCCCUGUGUUCUUCUAUUCUGCUAUCUUGAUCCAAUAAAUUCUUACUAUAUCAGUAAGUGAAAUCAUGGAGGGAUAACUGGAACCAGCACAGUGCAGAAGAGUCAUAGUGAGGGUGAGAGUGUGAAGUCAGAUAUUAGAAAAAGAGCACCAAAGAGGGGAAAGUGUAGAAGAGGGCGUGUCAGGAGUGGAGAGAGAGCUAAAGAAGCGAAUUUGAUGGAAAUGUGUGAGGAGAGAGUAAAAAAGGAAAUACAAGAAGAAGAGAUUUUUUUCACAGUUAAAAUGAAAUGAGACACAAAGUGAGGCAGCUGUAGCUAAGGUUAAAAGCAACGCAGGAGUAAAUGAAUAAGAAGAAGGAAGAGUUGAUUCAAAGAAUUAGAGGUGGGGGAAGGAAUUUUGUGAUAGAAAAUAUGCUAAGGUGAGGGAAGCGAGAGGAGACAAAAAUAAUAGAACAGCAUCAGAAAAGGAAUGUGAGAGGAAAUGGGUGUGUAAAGUCACGGAGGCAAAAAGACAAGACAGGAGGAGGCCUUUGUAAGGAAAUUCAGCCAGUUUACUGAUAAGCAGGCACACAUGGAUGGGAAACAGGGCAAGGAAAAGAGAGGGAUGUGCAGCAGCUGGCACUGCAGUGAUGCAUUAAGUAGACCUGAUGACAUUAACGUAUGAGACAAGAAGUGAGAACAGGCGCAUUAAACCGAACCUCCAUAAUUUCUAAGCAUAGGAAAAGCUGGAAAUGGGAACAGAGCAAAGUGAGUACAGAGCCUAGGACAACGUAAGGAAAGAAAGCAAUGGAUGGUAAGGAUACGGGCAGAGAGAGGGGCAGGCUCGGGAAGGACAGAGGAGGGGGGACAGGACAGGAGCUGAGCAAUAAAGAAUCAAUGUCAAGCAAAGACAAUAUAGCCACCCCUCCACUUUUGCUGUUGGCUGGUGCUGCUCAGGCAGUUGACCUGCAUCGGGUGAUUUCGGCCUCUAGAGGCCGGUCUUUGGGAGGAGAGGCAAAAGCCCUCACCACGGUCAGGCACGUGGGUGGAGGCAGAGCUGGUUGAACCUGGGGAUUCUGACGACAGCAACGUUGACCAAAUUGCUAUAUAACCCCUCAGAAAGCAUCUAUGACAACUAGAAUAAAUAGAGGUCAGAGAGCAAAGGUGGAACAAUUUACAGAGUUUCAAGAGUAGGAUGGCUUUAGAAAACAGGAAAAGAAAUAAAAAGAAUGCAAUGGUCUUAGUAGGAAAAGAGAA